GGGGGGGGGGGGGGGGGGGGGGGGGGGGGGGGGGGCGGGGGGAGGGGCCCUGCGGGUGUGGGGUGCUCGGGGGGCGAGCGGGUGAGUGACGCGUGAGUAACCUGCCCUUGACUUUGGGAUAACUUCAGGAAACUGGGGCUCAUACCGGAUAGGAGCUCCUGCUGCAGGGGGGGGGUUGGAAAGGUUCGGCGGUUGGGGAUGGACUCGCGGCUUAUCAGCUUGUUGGUGGGGUAGUGGCUUACCAAGGCUUUGACGGGUAGCCGGCCUGAGAGGGUGACCGGCCACAUUGGGACUGAGAUACGGCCCAGACUCCUACGGGAGGCAGCAGUGGGGAAUAUUGCACAAUGGGCGGAAGCCUGAUGCAGCAACGCCGCGUGCGGGAUGACGGCCUUCGGGUUGUAAACCGCUUUCGCCUGUGACGAAGCGUGAGUGACGGUAAUGGGUAAAGAAGCACCGGCUAACUACGUG
rnacentral:rRNA from 1 species